UACGGGGGGGAGCAAGCGUUGUUCGGAUUUACUGGGCGUAAAGGGCGCGUAGGCGGCCUCCGCAAGUCGACUGUGAAAUCUCCGGGCUUAACCCGGAAAGGUCAGCCGAAACUGCGGGGCUAGAGUGCAGAAGGGGCAACUGGAAUUCUUGGUGUAGCGGUGAAAUGCGUAGAUAUCAAGAGGAACACCUGCGGCGAAGGCGGGUUGCUGGGCCGACACUGACGCUGAGGCGCGAAAGCCAGGGGAGCGAACGGGG
rnacentral:rRNA from 1 species